GUGGAUUUUAACACCAGAUUAACCAGCAAAGCGUUUCUCCCGUGGGAGGUUAAGGAAAUAAAAAUAAGUGGAAAUCACAUGGAAGAUGUACAGAGUCACCUAUCAAGCAGCUUUUUUGAGACGCAGAGGAGGAUUAAGAGACUGUGCAGCCUUCUUUUGGAGACGGGGAAGACUCAUCUCACAAGGAUUUAAACUUAAGCAGCAGCAACAGCAGUGCCAGGCGGGAUGCGUUUUAGGCACACUGGAAAUCUAAAACUCAUGGAGGCACUUUGAGGAUUAUAAAAAAGUGUAGUAUGUCUCUCCACAAGACAUGUCCCAGCCCAAAGUCACUGGGAAAGCAGGAUAUUGCAUUUAUGAGCCUCCUCGGCCCUCCGCAUGGGGAGUGUGGGAGUCGUGAGGUCUGGGAGAUCACGACCUUAAUUCUUUCCAAGACAGACGGUUUAAUUAACACUGGAGGAAUCCUCAAUGGCUCCAGACCUCUACAAUGGGAAUGUGCAGGGGAAUUGAUUGCCAAGGCCCCCUUUGCUGUAGUCCACAUUGCAAGAAGACCACCUCACAGGGAUUUCACCCUUCACCAGAUCUGCAAAGAAGUCUGCAUGAAAAUGGAGAAGAAAGAAGAAAAGAGCUUGAUGGCAUUCAGGGAGCACAUUCACCUCUUAUGAGUAUGAGUGUUAAAUUAUGUGUUUAAGCUAAAAGCUCAUUGUUCAUCGUCUCCGUUGUCAUGUAACUUCUUCAACUGUAACUUAAGCAUUUAACUUUAUAGCAACAUCUGCUUCAGAGUCUGAAUUAGAAGUUUAGGAUGCGCAAUCACCAAGGGUUCUCAAGUGUUACUUUUCACAGGGUAUCACUGACUUUAAAGAAGUUAGAAAAUCAUUAUGCACUGAUGUUAUUUUGUAUGUGUUAUAUGGUGAGAACACUCUUGCUGGAGAGUUUUGCUUAUGUUUUUCAUAACAAUGAGUCGGUAUAAAGCUCUGUAAUAAUGACAACCACUGUGUUUUACUAUAUGUGUGAAUGAUAGAUGUGAAUAAGCCUUUUCUUGUUAACAUUCUCUGAAAUGAAAAAGAGCUGUUUAUUUGGUGUUCACAUUUUGUUCCACACUACUGUACAUGGGACAUAGCCUUUUCCUAAUGCUUUUCAUGUAUGUAGAUUUGAGAGAGCAUGUGGUCAGAACAAUGUACUCAUCUAAAGAGUCACAGAGUUACACAGCUUUGACAGCCCUAGUGUAUCUAGAAUAACAGAUUCAUGUAUAUGUACCGCAUCUGUUAAGAAGUAAUGAUCCCAAUUUGGUCACAGGGGAACAAAGACAACAUUAAGGACAUGUACUCAUACAAUAUGCAAAGCUCUGUGGAGAGAUAUUGCCAGAUUGUGCUCUCAUGUGACAAUAUAUGCACAGUGUUUCACUUUUUUCAUGGUAACAUAGAUUAUUAAUGAAUAUUUUUUUUCUGUGAGGAAUCUAGAUAAUAUAAUGUUGAAUAAAGAAUGUUAAUGGUUACUCAACAUGCUUGUGAAAACACUUGUCAUAUGAGCCUCUACCAGCAGUGUAGGAACAGUGCAGUGUACCUCUUUUUUUGCAACAUCAAGAGAAGGAGAGAAUUACUUUUUCUUUCACACCUGUGCUUUAAAGCCCUUUAAGUACCUUCGGAUUGAGUGGCUUGCUGUCAGGUGCUGUGGUAAUGAUGGUGGUGACUUGAGAUGUAAAAUGUCUUACUUCUACCCACCAUGUCUGACUUUUGCUCUCAAAAAAGCUGUGCGUCAUAGAUACAAUUGUGUUUUAAAUUAUAAAGAAAGGGCUUCUUAAGCCUCCUUUUACAAAACGUUUGCAGUUCAAUUACACUGUUUGUCUUCAUAAGUGCAAUUUGACCUGUAAUGAUAAAGAUCAUUUUUCAACAGUAAUAAUACAAUCCACACAGACCUUAUAUAUUUCUUUUCUUUUUUUUUUAAUUAAAUAUCAUAUAUUUCCAUUACAAAAUUCUCCAUUUGAAGCAUCUUAUUGACCGUAUUUGCCCUUCCAGAAGUCCAUUUGUUUACCUAUUUCUUAAAGUCUUUUAAAUCCAACAAAAUAGAUAUUGUUGUUGUUUUCAUGAUUUGAAGUAUUAAAAACAAGAGUCUUACAGCUAUGCUAGAAGCUCUGUGGGGCUAGGCAUGCUUGGAGAUGCUUUUAAGAUAAAUGCUAUCAUCAGCAUGCUAGCAUGCUAACAUAUGGCAAUACUAAAAUGGAAAUAUUUUCCAUGUUAGCCAUCUUAGUUUAGUGUGUUAGCAUAUAUAAAACCUUUCAUUUAUAAUUAGUCAUGUAAGACAGUUCGUAACAUAUUUUUAGCAAAUUCAAGAAGAAAAAAAUCCAAAAUACCGGAGCUGGGUUAGUCCUAUUACACCCCUGCAAUGAACAGUAUUGAGGCCUUCCUAUCUGCCUCCCUCCAUCUUGUCUGUGGUUACUAACCCCAGCUACAGUGGUCAGACAUGGGCCCCCUAUGUUUUCCAUGGACAGUUUAUCACACUUCCUUUCCCUGCUCUGGGCCCCCAGUCAGUCUGCCAGACAGGAAAAUCAUAGACUUUGAGACAUACCAUUACUGUGCAAAUGGUAUAUUGCACUGUGCAACAUGCUGAUGAUAUAUAACCUUAAAGUCUCACAAGUAAAUACAAAACAGGAUAGAGGUCUGAGUUGAGUUCACAGCCUUCACACGUACACAUAAAUGUUUGAAUUACACACUGGAUUGAUUGAAAGUUAGUCAAAAUGAUCCUAUAUGUACUGAAUGGUAUGGAAUUGAAUAGAAGGCAAAAUGAUUUUACUUGAAUGUCUGUGAAUGCUAUUUUAUUGGAAGUGUAUGAAGUUUAUUAAAUAAAGUAUUUAAUAAAUCUUUUGUGAUUCAGUUGAUUUCACUGACAUUGUGUGGUAUGGAUCUUAAUGUCAGGUAAAAUAAUUGUAUUUUUUUCCAACGCAGUUUGUCAAAUUUUCUGUCAGUCUAGCCUGGCUUGAUAGUCAUUCUAUCAAACAUUGAGAAACAGAUUUCCUAAAGGGAACAAAGCCUGAACACAACCACUUCUGCCUUCAACUCUGUCCAACAUCUGGCCUUAUUCCUGCAAGCUGCUAUCUGGAUCAUGAAUUAUGCGUAAAACAUAGAAAUCAGGUUGAAGAAAAAUAAAAAAAGGAACAUCAUUUUUGUAGACAUGUUAAAUACCAUGCACGCUGUAAUGUGAACAUAGGCCUUGUUAUAAAGAAGCCCUCUUUGUUUCCCUGUUUCUGAUUUAUUAAUGAUUUAGUUCACAAGAAGUAGUAAACAUGUGCCUGACAUAUAGAACUUAAUAAUAAACUAAAUUAAAGUAGGACAAACUACAAGUUAUAGUCUAUAUGUUUCCUUUAACUUUGUUCUGUCGUAAAAGAAAAGGAGCACCAUCUCUUCUGAAACUGAACUCUAAGGAAGAAGACAUUUUAAUACCCGAUUCCAUUUUUGAACUUGCCUUUUUUUAAAAACAUAGUUAUGAAAAACAUAAUCACCACUAGUGCGUACCUGCCAUCCUUCUGCUCUUCACUGCCCAUUUACCCCCUGCUUUUCAAGUCCAGGUAGAGGCUCUUUCCUGUGGAAAACAACAUACAACAAUAGGCUAAUUUGACACUGGCACAAAAGUUUGGACAGGGCCAUUAGACAGUGAAAGCAAAAUAAGGCUUUCUGGUUCCUAUUUUUUAACUUUCUGCUGGAAGUCAUUAGAUUAAUAACAUAAAUUUUAGCACUUCACCUCAAAAUGCACUUUUUGGGGGUUUCCUCCCAUGUGUAACAGGCUUAUUUGCAAGGUUAAAUAACAACUUUAAUUUUACAAGCAAAAUGAAAUGGCUUGAUGAUUACUUGCACUUCUUUUGCUCAACAUAUACAUUGGAGGAGGGCGAAGGGGAAAGGGAAUAAUUAGUGGGUCAAUUAAGGAAAAAUUAUUAUUAUCAUAGCUGUCCAUAGCUGUGUAUGAUACCUGUUACCUAUCUCUUUAAUUAAUUGGCCUCUGGCUUAAUCGGACAUUACACUGUGAAAUACGACACACGUUAUCGUCCACUUGACAACAAUGGCUCCUAUUUUGUUUUCCCUCCUAUGUACCUCAACCAGGAUGUGUAUGAGCCUGCCAGCCGUUAACCCCCACAGAGGAAGUGUGCAGGAAAUGAGAUCAGCGUUAAAGAGAGGUAACGCCUGAGCCACUGACACCAGACCAAUAACUGUCACUCACUGCACCUGAUACUGAGAUACUAAAAAUGCAGCAAAUAACAGGAAGGUCAGGGUAUAAUAGACAAAUGUGAUACACCAGUAGCAAGAGAAGAGCAUAUAAUAGGGAAGCAAAUGGAACAAAAACAAAGAAAAAAGAAUAGAACAGCUUAAAAUAGAGACAACACAAAAAAAACAUCAAAUACAGCACAAAAGAACAUAGAAAAGUGACAAAAGAAAGAAAAAAAUGUAUCACAACUUUUACCAUCACUCCGUCUCAAAGACGAGUUGUGUUUAAAAAAACUCUCAAAAGUUAAAAAUAUCUGUAAAGGGGUUGAGGUUGAAUUAUGGCACUAUGUACAUAAAUGUAACAGCAUGUAUACAUAUUUGAUGCCCUGCUAUAAAAUAAAAUAGAAUAGAAUAGAAUAGAAUAGAAUAGAAAAAUGACAGAAACAAACAAUCUAGACUGAAGCAUUUCAGACAAGACCAAACAAGAACAAAACAACUCAGCACUGUGUAGAAGAAAGCACGUUCAGUACAGCAUGCAGUGUGAGUGGAGAUUAAAGACAAUACAAGAAAAGCACCACCCAAACUAUCAGACAAAGUCUGUUUGAAAAAAAAAAAAUGUUUUCAAUAGCUAAAAAUACCACCUGGGUUGGGCUUAAUUCAGUGGCUGUGUAUGUGAAACUGUCACUAUGCCCUGCACACAUUCUUUUUACCAUGAUGAAAGACAGUGUGUAACUUCCCUAAAUAAACCAGGCCUGACAGCAAUGCGUGCAUGUGUGUGUUGUAUAUGCAUAUGUGUACCUCAGCAUGCACACAAACAGCUGAAGUUUUCUCUAAGAUUGAAAAAGAAAACAUGUUGGUUUUUUUUAUUUAUUGAGAUAGGAGGCAAGAUGAAUAAUGAAACAUUUACAGUGUCAGCUAUCACCUACACCCAAGAACAAGAGCUUUUUGAUAAAAUACAUAGAUACAAGCACAACGCUUGUUUCUGAGGCAAAAUACAGAACUUCAGUAGGCAGAAAACAUACUUGUUAUUUUGGGUUUAUGUUUUAUUUGAUAUGCGUGAUUUGUGCUUGUAUAAACUCUUGAAUAUUUUGUGCUAGAUGUUUUAAGAACUCAGAACAGAGUCCACUGACACUGCCCCACAAAGUAAAUGUAUCUUGAAUACCGCAGUUGCCAGUGACAUUUUCAUUUAUUUGUGUGCCUUGGCUCCCCUGUCGGGUGACUUGAACUGCUCACUCAUGAUCCCGCUACUUGACAUGUAUGUGACACAGGUAUACACCUUUAUUAUGCUGUUGCAGCAUUUGCUGUGCUUUUACACGUGAAUAUAGACAUGAAUAAAAUAUGACAGGUGUGUAAUGUGUACAUGGCCC
rnacentral:lncRNA from 15 species